rnacentral:rRNA from 1 species
GACGAACGCUGGCGGCGUGCUUAACACAUGCAAGUCGAACGAAAAGGCCCUGCUUUUGUGCGGUCCUCGAGUGGCGAACGGGUGAGUAACACGUGAGUAUCAUGCACUUGAAUUUGGGAUAACUUUAGGAAACUGGGGAUCAUACCGGAUAUAAGCUCUUGAUGCAUGGGGGGGGUCGGAAAGUUUCGGCGGUUGGGGAUGGACUCGAGGCUUAUCAGCUUGUUGGUGGGGUAGUGGCUUACCAAGGCUUUGACGGGUAGGCGGCCUGAGAGGGUGACCAGGGUCAAUAGGACUGAGAGAGGCCCCAGAAGCCAACGGGAGGCAACGGUGGGAAAUAUUGCGGAAUGAGCGGACGCCUGAUGCAGAAGCGCCGGGAGCGUGAUAACGGCCUUCGGGGUGUGAACCGCUGUGGCCUGUGCCAAAGCGUGAGUGACGGUAACGGGUAAAGAAGCACCGGCUAACUACGUG